rnacentral:tRNA from 1 species
CAGGGAGACAACAAAAUGUUUAAUAUUAUUAUUUUGUCACCUUAGGUCGAUCGGUAUCUCACGUUCUUAAUUUUUUAAGAAUUUCAUUUCCUAAGUUUUUCUAGGUCACACCCAUUUUUUCCUGGGCCAUUAGCUCAGGUGGUUAGAGCGCACCCCUGAUAAGGGUGAGGUCCCUGGUUCAAGUCCAGGAUGGCCCAUAUCUCUAUGUUGGGGGUAUAGCUCAGUUGGUAGAGCGCCUGCUUUGCAAGCAGGAUGUCAGCGGUUCGAGUCCGCUUACCUCCACUGGUUACCACCUCUUCCAUACUGUAGAAAGGAAAAAAUUUUGAGUCGUGAGCCUAUUUCUGAACGAAUCUAGCUUCCUAAUGAAACCAUUAAGAUGCUGGACUCAUUGAAUUAAUUUCAUUGUUUUCAGAGAACCUUGACAACUGCAUAGAUUAUUUUUAAAGACAAUAAGCAUCUUUAAUGAUGCAGAUUUAUUAUUUGUGCAAAUGCAUUAAUAACAAUUCUAUUAAGCUGAUGCUUCAAUUUUGAAGUUAUU